rnacentral:rRNA from 2 species
UUAAGCGACUAAGCGUACACGGUGGAUGCCCUGGCAGUCAGAGGCGAUGAAGGACGUGCUAAUCUGCGAAAAGCGCCGGCGAGGUGAUAUGAACCCUUGACCCGGCGAUGUCCGAAUGGGGAAACCCAGUGUGUUCCGACACACUAUCGUUAACUGAAUACAUAGGUUAACGAGGCGAACCGGGGGAACUGAAACAUCUAAGUACCCCGAGGAAAAGAAAUCAACCGAGAUUCCCCCAGUAGCGGCGAGCGAACGGGGAGCAGCCCGGAGUCUGAAUCAGCUUGUGUGUUAGUGGAACGGUCUGGAAAGUCCGACGGUACAGGGUGAUAGUCCCGUACACGAAAACACACUUGCUGUGAACUCGAAGAGUAGGGCGGGACACGUGGUAUCCUGUCUGAAUAUGGGGGGACCAUCCUCCAAGGCUAAAUACUCCUGACUGACCGAUAGUGAACCAGUACCGUGAGGGAAAGGCGAAAAGAACCCCGGCGAGGGGAGUGAAAAAGAACCUGAAACCGUGUACGUACAAGCAGUGGGAGCACCUUCGGGUGUGACUGCGUACCUUUUGUAUAAUGGGUCAGCGACUUAUAUUCUGUAGCAAGGUUAACCGUAUAGGGGAGCCGAAGGGAAACCGAGUCUUAACUGGGCGUUAAGUUGCAGGGUAUAGACCCGAAACCCGGUGAUCUAGCCAUGGGCAGGUUGAAGGUUGGGUAACACUAACUGGAGGACCGAACCGACUAAUGUUGAAAAAUUAGCGGAUGACCUGUGGCUGGGGGUGAAAGGCCAAUCAAACCGGGAGAUAGCUGGUUCUCCCCGAAAGCUAUUUAGGUAGCGCCUCGUGAACUCAUCUUCGGGGGUAGAGCACUGUUUCGGCUAGGGGGCCAUCCCGGCUUACCAACCCGAUGCAAACUACGAAUACCGAAGAAUGUUAUCACGGGAGACACACGGCGGGUGCUAACGUCCGUCGUGAAGAGGGAAACAACCCAGACCGCCAGCUAAGGUCCCAAAGUCAUGGUUAAGUGGGAAACGAUGUGGGAAGGCACAGACAGCCAGGAUGUUGGCUUAGAAGCAGCCAUCAUUUAAAGAAAGCGUAAUAGCUCACUGGUCGAGUCGGCCUGCGCGGAAGAUGUAACGGGGCUAAACCAUGCACCGAAGCUGCGGCAGCGACGCUUAUGCGUUGUUGGGUAGGGGAGCGUUCUGUAAGCCGUUGAAGGUGUGCUGUGAGGCAUGCUGGAGGUAUCAGAAGUGCGAAUGCUGACAUAAGUAACGAUAAAGCGGGUGAAAAGCCCGCUCGCCGGAAGACCAAGGGUUCCUGUCCAACGUUAAUCGGGGCAGGGUGAGUCGACCCCUAAGGCGAGGCCGAAAGGCGUAGUCGAUGGGAAACAGGUUAAUAUUCCUGUACUUGGUGUUACUGCGAAGGGGGGACGGAGAAGGCUAUGUCAGCCGGGCGACGGUUGUCCCGGUUUAAGCAUGUAGGCGGAGGUUCCAGGUAAAUCCGGUACCUUUUAACGCUGAGGUGUGAUGACGAGGCACUACGGUGCUGAAGUGAUAAAUGCCCUGCUUCCAGGAAAAGCCUCUAAGCAUCAGGUAACACGAAAUCGUACCCCAAACCGACACAGGUGGUCAGGUAGAGAAUACCAAGGCGCUUGAGAGAACUCGGGUGAAGGAACUAGGCAAAAUGGUGCCGUAACUUCGGGAGAAGGCACGCUGAUAUGUAGGUGAAGUCCCUGCGGACGGAGCUGAAAUCAGUCGAAGAUACCAGCUGGCUGCAACUGUUUAUUAAAAACACAGCACUGUGCAAACACGAAAGUGGACGUAUACGGUGUGACGCCUGCCCGGUGCCGGAAGGUUAAUUGAUGGGGUUAGCGGCAACGCGAAGCUCUUGAUCGAAGCCCCGGUAAACGGCGGCCGUAACUAUAACGGUCCUAAGGUAGCGAAAUUCCUUGUCGGGUAAGUUCCGACCUGCACGAAUGGCGUAAUGAUGGCCAGGCUGUCUCCACCCGAGACUCAGUGAAAUUGAACUCGCUGUGAAGAUGCAGUGUACCCGCGGCAAGACGGAAAGACCCCGUGAACCUUUACUAUAGCUUGACACUGAACACUGGUCCUUGAUGUGUAGGAUAGGUGGGAGGCUUUGAAGCGUGGACGCCAGUCUGCGUGGAGCCGUCCUUGAAAUACCACCCUUUAAUGGCUGGUGUUCUAACGUAGACCCGUGAUCCGGGUUGCGGACAGUGUCUGGUGGGUAGUUUGACUGGGGCGGUCUCCUCCCAAAGAGUAACGGAGGAGCACGAAGGUUGGCUAAUCCUGGUCGGACAUCAGGAGGUUAGUGCAAUGGCAUAAGCCAGCUUGACUGCGAGCGUGACGGCGCGAGCAGGUGCGAAAGCAGGUCAUAGUGAUCCGGUGGUUCUGAAUGGAAGGGCCAUCGCUCAACGGAUAAAAGGUACUCCGGGGAUAACAGGCUGAUACCGCCCAAGAGUUCAUAUCGACGGCGGUGUUUGGCACCUCGAUGUCGGCUCAUCACAUCCUGGGGCUGAAGUAGGUCCCAAGGGUAUGGCUGUUCGCCAUUUAAAGUGGUACGCGAGCUGGGUUUAGAACGUCGUGAGACAGUUCGGUCCCUAUCUGCCGUGGGCGCUGGAGAAUUGAGGGGGGCUGCUCCUAGUACGAGAGGACCGGAGUGGACGCAUCACUGGUGUUCGGGUUGUCAUGCCAAUGGCACUGCCCGGUAGCUAAAUGCGGAAGAGAUAAGUGCUGAAAGCAUCUAAGCACGAAACUUGCCCCGAGAUGAGUUCUCCCUGAGACUUUAAGUCUCCUGAAGGAACGUUGAAGACGACGACGUUGAUAGGUCGGGUGUGUAAGCGCAGCGAUGCGUUGAGCUAACCGAUACUAAUGAACCGUGAGGCUUAACCUU